UCCUGGCUAACGUGGUGAAACCCCGUCUCUACUAAAAAUGCAAAAAAAAUUAGCUGGGCGUGGUGGCGGGCGCCUGUAGUCCCAGCUACUGGGGAGGCCGAGGCAGGAGAAUGGCAUGAACCUGGGAGGCGGAGCUUGCAGUGAGUCGAGAUCGCGCCACUGCACUCCGGCCUGGGCAACAGAGCAAGAUUCCGUCUCAAAAACAAAACAAAACAAAACAAAACAAAACAAAACAAAACAAAACAAUAAAACCACUACACUAAUGAUAGCUGAUGAGCUAAAAAUAAAUAAAUAAAUAAAUAAUUUCAUAAUGUUUUAAGAAAGUUUACGAAUUUGUGUUGGGCUGCAUUCAAAGCCGUCCUGGUCUGCAUGUGGCCUGCAGGCCGGGGACUGGACAGGCUUGCUCUAGAUAUUUUUCCUUACGGUACUGGAGCAUUUGGGGAGAUCAGGGCUGAGUAAGGCUCUAGGCAUUACAGUCCCUCAGGGUUCAUAUUAAAAUAAAAUUCUACAAUAAUGACCCAAUGUGGCCCAAUACAGCUGACCCACAGUACAUUAUGAGGUAUUUAAUCAACUCUCUUUGGCUUAAAGAAAAUAUUUUUGUUUCUGAGUUUUAUCGUGGUUGAUAGUGGUGGUGUAGCAAUUUGCUUAUUUGUUUGCUGGGCUUUUUAAUCAAUCAUGACGAUAGAAAGCUGUUGUUGGGGCUUAAGGGAAGAAAUGACAACCUAAUCUGAAAUGUCACCAAAGCCAGCAACUGUGGGGAACCUACCAAAUAAAAUCUGUUGAUAAGAUAAAAGGCUAUUCGGAUUCUGAUCUGACAACCUUUUUUUUUUUUCUUUUUUUUCUUUUUUUUUUUUAGAUAGGGGCUAUGUGAUGCGGAAGGUAAGGGAAGGUAGAGAAAAGUGUAUAAUAUCUGCAAAAAGAUCAUUCCCAUUGCCUGUAUACACCACUGUUUCGUAUGGACUGCAUUUUUGCUGGCAAACUGCAAACACUUUCUCCAAACUGCAGACACAUUUUGAGUCCCAACAAUGUGCAUGGUUCACAAAGCAAUUUGUAGUCAUGGUUUCUUUUACAAAAUGAUGAUGUUUAAGAACAUCUUGUAAUUAGGUCAAAGGAAAACAGUGUUUAUUCUAUGAGCUGAGGAUAGGCUGCAAGUCUGAGUUCUAAUUAACACAGUGGUUGAUUCACUAAUGCCAAGUGUCUGUUGUUAAUGAAGACAUGAAAGCAGUCCCGCAGGUAACAUUUUGUAAGGGGCUUCUUUACAGCAGCAGUUCACUUGGGCAAACAAUGACAGCAAUCCACACCCUCAUCCAGUCUAAUGAAAUGCGUAGCUAUUUACUGGAUUCUUUUUACCUCAAACCCACUUGGGAGAAAAUAGAGAUUUUUCCCAAUAAAUGUGUACGGUAAGGCCUUUGGAAAUAUGCAAGUAUUCAUAGCUACAAGUAUUAAACCAUGCACUUUGAGCCAGUACGAAUAGCAGCAAGGCUUAAGAGAGAAGGCUUUUUAAAAAAUUUUUUUUAUUUUUUAUUUUUUUUCUAAUGCUAGAUCACAAUGGACUUCAUCAGAGCCCUGGAGAGCUAGAGUCAGAAUAGGCCAAAGCAGGAACUCUUGCUCCACAUUAUGCUUUCUUUUUGCAGCAUUAAGGCUUUGGCUGAAAUGCUAAUGAUGAAAACAAUCUCCUUGGGAACCUGUAGGUUUCCACCUUGUCCCAGGCCUGGAGAGAUUAAAAUGUUAUGACAGUUGUGAAGUCCCUUUCUGGCAAAGCUCCAUGAUCUUGUGAAAAGUGUCAAAGGAGAUGAAUGAAAACAAAGAACUUCACCUGACCUCCAAGUGGAAGGCUGAAAUAAAAAGUUAACCCUAGUCACUCCACUGUGGCAGAAAUGUUACAUAUUCCUGCUGCCAAAAUUCCUCAGUCCACUCUUGAAAACACAACAAACACAUUCUCUCUCUCUCUCUCUAACUUCUUUUAGUCUUUCUGCAGAGCAUGUUUUCUUUCUGGUGUUUCUUUAUAUGGGAGACAGGUAAAGGAGAGAAAGGAUUGUUUAAGUGGAUGAACCAGGCUGUAUUUAAGAAUUUUAGGCCAGGAAGGAUGGCUCAUGCCUGUAAUCCCAGCAUUUUGGGAGGCCGAGGUGGGCGAUCGCCUGAGGUCAGGAGUUUGAGACCAGCCUGGCUAACAUGGUGAAACCCUGUCUCUACUAAAAAUACAAAAAAAGUAGCUGGGCGUGGUGGUGGGCGCCUGUAAUGCCAGCUACUUGGGAGGCUGAGGUAGGAGAAUCAAUUGAACCUGGGAGGCAGAGGUUGCAAUGAGCUGAGAUCGUGCCAUUGCACUCCAGCCUGGGUGACAAAAGCAAAACUCCAUCUCAAAAAAAGAAUUUUAAUCCUCUUGCCAAAGGCAUAUGUCUAGAUAUCACAUGGCUCUGACAUCAGUAAGUUUAUUAUUUAAAAUUUAAGAAAAAAAAAUAUAUAUAUUUUUAGAAAUAGAGAUGGGGCCUCGCUAUGUUGCCCAGGCUGGUCUUGGACUCCUGGGUGAUUCUACUGCCUUGGCUUCCCAAAGUGCUGGGAUUACAGAUGGGAACCACUGUGACUGGAUGAUUAGUAAAUUUAGACAUGAACCCAAACUAAACCCACUCUCAGCUCCUACCUUUCCCUGUUGUCCAGAGCUGCCUGCACUCAUUCCUUCCUCCCUUUACUGGCAUCUGUUACCUUUCUACUCUUGAAGGAAAGCUUACUUCGCGAUAAUUUUCCUUCUCCAUCUGUUUCUCUUGGCUCUGCAACUCAUAAGACAGGAUUGGAGAAAAUAUCACAUGGAUCACAUAGUUUUGCAUUUCAGAGACUCUAAUGCAGUCAUCUGGUGCUAGUCAAAGAAUCUCAAAAGAUCCACUUCCUCCUGAGUCUUCAAUCUUGAUGUGAGAUAAGGGAAGGUCAAAUGUGGUUUCCACUUUUAAAAUAUGGGUUACUGAGGCUGAAAAUCUGAAAAAAGCCAGCUCCAAGCAUUUGCUAUCUUCACCUUUUUUUUAAAAUGCAAUUUUUUUUUUCAGAUUGUG
rnacentral:lncRNA from 1 species